CGACAUCGCGAGGGUCCCCCAUGAGAGUUGUCUUACAGAAGGUAACGCUUUAAGUCGCCGCUCGUGGAGUAACGGCACACAGUUUAAACACUCAAACGAAUUGAUCGGGGGCCCGUACACGAGGUUGAAGCAUUGUGCUGUAUCAUGAUCAGUUGCGAAGAUGCGUUACGUGGUUUUGACAUCUACAGAACUUACCAGAGAUGGUGCUGGUUCCUUCGCGGAACUUUGAGACAGAUGCUGCAAGGCUCCGUAUCAGCUCGGGUUGUGAAACGGAGGUAUAAGUGCGCGCUAUUAAGCGCAAACCUUCAAUUAGCUUGCCAACGGUCCUGCCGGGAACUCUAACGGGGGAACCAGUGAUAAACUGGAGGACCUUGGCGAUCACGUCACGUCAUCGCAUCCCGUUUGAGUACGUUUACAACGUGCUACAAUGGUGCAUGCAAAGGAAUAUGGCCUUUGGUGCGGAUACAGGCUUCCUCAAAUGCCUUUUUAACCCGGAUGGGAUUUUCCCGUCGGCAACCCGGGAUCGGCUUUAGUUACUAAUAACCUUGAGUCUCGUAGGGGGGGAUAGAAUUCCAGGGGUAGCGGAGAAAGGCGUAGAGAUCUGGGNGGAAACCCGGUGGAGAAGGCGGCCCCCUGGACGAAGACUGACGCUCAGGUGCGAAAGCGUGGGGAGCAAACAGGAUUAGAUACCCUGGUAGUCCACGCCGUAAACGAUGUCGACUCGGAGGUUGUGCCCUUGAGGCGUGGCUACCGGAGCUAACGCGUUAAGUCGACCGCCUGGGGAGNUNACGGCNCGCAAGGUUAAAACUCAAAUGAAUUGACGGGGGCCCGCACAAGCGGUGGAGCAUGUGGUUUAAUUCGAUGCAACGCGAAGAACCUUACCUGGUCUUGACAUCCACAGAACUUUCCAGAGAUGGAUUGGUGCCUUCGGGAACUGUGAGACAGGUGCUGCAUGGCUGCCGUCAGCUCGUGUUGUGAAAUGUUGGGUUAAGUCCCGCAACGAGCGCAACCCUUAUCUUUUGUUGCCAGCGGUCCGGCCGGGAACUCAAAGGAGACUGCCAGUGAUAAACUGGAGGAAGGUGGGGGAUGACGUCAAGUCAUCAUGGCCCUUACGAGUAGGGCUACACACGUGCUACAAUGGCGCAUACAAAGAGAAGCGACCUCGCGAGAGCAAGCGGACCUCAUAAAGUGCGUCGUAGUCCGGAUUGUAGUCUGCAGCUCGACUCCAUGAAGUCGGAAUCGCUAGGUAAUCGUAGAUCAUAAUGC
rnacentral:rRNA from 1 species